rnacentral:lncRNA from 1 species
CUAAAAUAGGUGGAGGUGUAAUUAGCAUAAUUAAAGCAAAUUUUGCAAGCAGUUCUGUGAAAACUUUAUUUGGCUUUUUAGGUCCAGAAGGUCAGGCAAGAAACAGCAACAUUUUCUGAUCUUAUUCCUGGUAAGCUGUACAAUUUUACAAUUCGAACAGAAAAGGAAGGUUUCAGAGACAGCAUUUUUGUCACAAAGGAAAUAGAAACAGUACCAAAUGCAGUUAAAUAUCUGAACUAUAGCAGAGAGACUGAAUCAAUAACUGUUACUUGGCCACCAGCCCAAAAUAAAUUUGAUGGAUAUGUUCUUUCAAUAAACAGCAAGAUCUUCAACAAAGAGAAAAUAUUAUCUUCCGGUGUAAGCAUAUACAAAUUUGAGAAUCUUCAGCCAGGCACUGAUUUCUUAAUCAGUAUUGUGACAACCAAUGGACUAAAAAGAAGUCGUCCCACCAUACUCAAGAUUAGCACCUAUCCUGAUCCACCAUCAGAUUUACAGGUGUUUGGGCAAGAAGAAAAUGCAGUCUAUUUGUCUUGGAAACUGCCAAGAGGAGGAUUUGAUAUGUUUCAGGUUUCAUAUUGUCUGAUGAAUAAUGAAAAGUUGCUUACCACAACUGUUUAUGAUAGCAGAGCUGUAGUGAAAAAUCUGGUCCCUGGGAUGGAAUACUUGUUUCAGCUAAGGACAGUUAAAGGUUUGGAUUCCUCUGUGGCUGUGGAGAAAAGUGUCAUCACAAGUAAGGACACCUCAUAACUUGUCUCUUUGAAUAAUGGUAAAUGUGGAUGCAGAAGCAUUUGAAUCAUUGUAUGUAAGUGACUCAAAAGGGUCAGAGUUCAAAAUGAAGUUUAACUAUGGUGGGAAAUUUCUCCUCCUCUUGUGAUAGUUGCUUAAGCAGGAGUCUUGUCUGUAAUGCAGUGGGUUGAAUUUAAAGUUUAGACAUAGCUGUAGAUACCCAUUUGAAAAAAAAGAAGUGGACUCUCAAAAUUUUUACAGCUUCAUCAGGAAUAAAUAGUGCCAGAAUAUCGUUCUAUACUUUAAA